rnacentral:rRNA from 1 species
CCUACGGGUGGCAGCAGUGAGGAAUAUUGGUCAAUGGACGAGAGUCUGAACCAGCCAAGUAGCGUGAAGGAUGAAUGCCCUAUGGGUUGUAAACUUCUUUUAUAUGGGAAUAAAACGUUCCACGUGUGGGAUUUUGUAUGUACCAUAUGAAUAAGGAUCGGCUAACUCCGUGCCAGCAGCCGCGGUAAUACGGAGGAUCCGAGCGUUAUCCGGAUUUAUUGGGUUUAAAGGGUGCGUAGGUGGAUUGUUAAGUCAGUUGUGAAAGUUUGCGGCUCAACCGUAAAAUUGCAGUUGAAACUGGCAGUCUUGAGUACAGUAGAGGUGGGCGGAAUUCGUGGUGUAGCGGUGAAAUGCUUAGAUAUCACGAAGAACUCCGAUUGCGAAGGCAGUUCACUGGACUGCAACUGACACUGAGGCUCGAAAGUGUGGGUAUCAAACAGGAUUAGAUACCCGAGUAGUC